GAUGAACGCUGGCGGCGUGCCUAAUACAUGCAAGUCGAGCGAACGGACGAGAAGCUUGCUUCUCUGAUGUUAGCGGCGGACGGGUGAGUAACACGUGGAUAACCUACCUAUAAGACUGGGAUAACUUCGGGAAACCGGAGCUAAUACCGGAUGAUAUUUUGAACCGCAUGGUUCAAAAGUGAAAGACGGUCUUGCUGUCACUUAUAGAUGGAUCCGCGCUGCAUUAGCUAGUUGGUAAGGUAACGGCUUACCAAGGCAACGAUGCAUAGCCGACCUGAGAGGGUGAUCGGCCACACUGGAACUGAGACACGGUCCAGACUCCUACGGGAGGCAGCAGUAGGGAAUCUUCCGCAAUGGGCGAAAGACUGACGGAGCAACGCCGCGUGAGUGAUGAAGGUCUUCGGAUCGUAAAACUCUGUUAUUAGGGAAGAACAUAUGUGUAAGUAACUGUGCACAUCUUGACGGUACCUAAUCAGAAAGCCACGGCUAACUACGUG
rnacentral:rRNA from 1 species